GACGAACGCUGGCGGCAUGCCUAAUACAUGCAAGUCGAGCGAACAGAUGAAGUGCUUGCACUUCUGACGUUAGCGGCGAACGGGUGAGUAACACGCAAGGAAUCUACCUAUAAGCGGGGGAUAACAUUCGGAAACGGGUGCUAAUACCGCAUAAUAUCUUCUUCCGCAUGGAAGAAGAUUGAAAGACGGCUCUGCUGUCACUUAUAGAUGACCUUGCGGUGCAUUAGUUAGUUGGUGGGGUAACGGCCUACCAAGACGAUGAUGCAUAGCCGACCUGAGAGAGGUAUCGGCCACAUUGGGACUGAGACCCGUCCCAAACUCCUACGGGAGGAAGCAGUAGGGAAUCUUCCGCAAUGGGCGAUAGCCUGACGGAGCAACGCCGCGUGAGUGAAGAAGGCCUUCGGGUCGUAAAACUCUGUUAUAAGAGAAGAACAAAUUGUAGAGUAACUGCUACAGUCUUGACGGUAUCUUAUCAGAAAGCCACGGCUAACUACGUGCCAGCCGCCGCCGUAA
rnacentral:rRNA from 1 species